GGGAACCUUUCUGGCUCUGCAAUAUGAUAAGGCAGGCGAACUUUAAAACCUACAAGGACUCUUUCUGGCCACAAUAGUGAUGGAAAAGUUGUUUCCGGACCCCCAACAAAAACAACAGCAGGAAAGAGGACAUAUGGCAUCCUUUUGAACAAUAGAUGACAGGUGAAGAAGAUAUGAGUGUUGGGUGGCUCCCUGGCACAAACCAAU